GGCCAACAUCAAGAGUUGGGCAUCGCCCGACGCCAACCUGCUUCCCGAGCAAGGUGGCGCUCCCCGAAAGGGAGGAUGUGGCCGAACCGGCAACUAAACGGGCUCAG
rnacentral:ncRNA from 2 species